rnacentral:rRNA from 1 species
UUUCCUACGGGAGGCAGCAGUGGGGAAUUUUGGACAAUGGGGGCAACCCUGAUCCAGCCAUUCCGCGUGAGUGAAGAAGGCCUUCGGGUUGUAAAGCUCUUUCGGCAGGAACGAAACGGUCGUCUCUAACAUAGAUGGCUAAUGACGGUACCUGAAGAAGAAGCACCGGCUAACUACGUGCCAGCAGCCGCGGUAAUACGUAGGGUGCGAGCGUUAAUCGGAAUUACUGGGCGUAAAGCGUGCGCAGGCGGUUUCGUAAGACAGAUGUGAAAUCCCCGGGCUUAACCUGGGAACUGCGUUUGUGACUGCGAGACUCGAGUGUGGCAGAGGGGGGUGGAAUUCCGCGUGUAGCAGUGAAAUGCGUAGAUAUCUGGAGGAACACCGA